rnacentral:rRNA from 1 species
GAUGAAUGCUGGCGGCGUGCCUAACACAUGCAAGUCGAGCGAAUGGAUUGAGAGCUUGCUCUUAUGAAGUUAGCGGCGGACGGGUGAGUAACACGUGGGUAACCUGCCCAUAAGACUGGGAUAACUCCGGGAAACCGGGGCUAUUACCGGAUAACAUUUUGAACCGCAUGGUUCGAAAUUGAAAGGCGGCUUCGGCUGUCACUUAUGGAUGGACCCGCGUCGCAUUAGCUAGUUGGUGAGGUAACGGCUCACCAAGGCAACGAUGCGUAGCCGACCUGAGAGGGUGAUCGGCCACACUGGGACUGAGACACGGCCCAGACUCCUACGGGAGGCAGCAGUAGGGAAUCUUCCGCAAUGGACGAAAGUCUGACGGAGCAACGCCGCGUGAGUGAUGAAGGCUUUCGGGUCGUAAAACUCUGUUGUUAGGGAAGAACAAGUGCUAGUUGAAUAAGCUGGCACCUUGACGGUACCUAACCAGAAAGCCACGGCUAACUACGUGCCAGCCGCCGCAGAA